UACGUAGGGGGCAAGCGUUGUCCGGAAUCAUUGGGCGUAAAGCGAGCGUAGGCGGCCCGAUAAGUCUGCUGUAAAAGUCAACGGCUCAACCGUUGAAAGCCGGUGGAUACUGUCGGGCUAGAGUUCGGAAGAGGCAAGUGGAAUUCCUGGUGUAGCGGUGGAAUGCGCAGAUAUCAGGAGGAACACCUAUAGCGAAGGCAGCUUGCUGGGACGAAACUGACGCUAAGGCUCGAAAGCGUGGGGAGCGAACGGG
rnacentral:rRNA from 1 species